rnacentral:piRNA from 1 species
UGCUGGUUGUCAAGUUGUUCCUAGUUUG